GAAGUUUAAUAAAUAAUAAAAAUCUAGCAGAAAAAGAAAUAAUAUUAGGAGUUAGAAAAAUAAAAAUAGAAUUCGAAGUAAAAGAAGAAAUGCAAAAAGCAGAUAUAAUAUUAGGAAUAAAAUGGUUAGAACAAGUAAAACCAUAUAAUAUAGAACAUACACAAUUAACCUUAACAUAUAACCAAGAAAAGUUAUUCUUAAAAAGAGCCUUAACAUGAAAUGAAGAUACAUGUAUUAAUGAAGAUAGUAGUAGAAGGAUAUUACAGUAGAUAUUAUACGCCUAUGAUAGAUACAGG
rnacentral:lncRNA from 1 species